rnacentral:rRNA from 1 species
UACGAAGGGUGCAAACGUUAUUCGGAAUCAUUGGGCGUAAAGGGUGCGUAGACGGUAUGUUAAGUUCGUUGUUAAAGGCUCUGGCCUAACCGGAGUUUCGCAAUGAAAACUGGCACACUAGAGGGUGAGAGAGAGAAGUGGAAUUCCUGGAGUAGCGGUAAAAUGCGUGGAUCUCAGGAGGAACACCAAUGGCGAAGGCAGCUUCUUGGCUCAUUCCUGACGUUGAGGCACGAAAGCGUGGGGAGCAAACAGG